AUGAACGCUGGCGGCGUGCCUAACACAUGCCAGUCGAGCGGCAGCGAGGGGUGCUUGCACCCUGUCGGCGAGCGGCGGACGGCUGAGUAACGCGUGGGAACGUGCCCCAAAGUGAGGAAUAACUGCCCGAAAGGGUAGCUAAUACCGCAUAUUAUCUUCGGAUCAAAGGAUUUAUCCGCUUUGGGAGCGGCUCGCGUCGGAUUAGGUAGUUGGUGAGGUAAUGGCUCACCAAGCCGACGAUCCGUAGCUGGUCUGAGAGGAUGACCAGCCAGACUGGAACUGAGACACGGUCCAGACUCCUACGGGAGGCAGCAGUGAGGAAUCUUCCACAAUGGGCGAAAGCCUGAUGGAGCAACGCCGCGUGCAGGACGAAGGCCUUCGGGUUGUAAACUGCUUUUAUAAGUGAGGAAUAUGACGGUAACUUAUGAAUAAGGAUCGGCUAACUACGUG
rnacentral:rRNA from 1 species